UUCGGUUCUUUUCCUCGUAAGAACUUCAACCUCUUUCGUUUCCAGCCAGGAAUCGUACGAGUUUCGCAAUCGAGUCGGUAUUACGUGCACGAAGAACGAACGGGUAACCUUUAUCGGUCGGAAAGGCGUAAAGUGGGACAGUGGCCUGAUUCCCGGUGUCAUGGCUGCGGCUGCAUGUGCACCGGCCAGAAGAGUGGAACGGCUAUAGACGCGCCGAAUAUGCAACCAGUACUCCACUCUGUCUUGGAUUUUUGCCAAAAACUCGCGGGUAUUUCCUUUUUUCUCGACGAAAGAAGAGUAGGAAAAAGAAGAAGGGAACACACAUAGGGAUUAAUAUGGGCGCGUUAUGCGAGUGGACUCGUCUGUUUUCUGCCGUGGUUCGUUCCAAUUUUUUCGGUUCGUUUGAGAUAAAACGUGAUGGUCAAAAGAGAAUGAUUUUUUUCGUUGGUAUUAAAUUUUGAUUCGAAGCAAAUGAUUUAUUUAAAAGAAUUUAGUGACAUAUCGAGAAUUUUUAAAUAAUUCGAAGGUUUAUAUAAUAAUAUUUUAAAGUGUUUAAAGAAAAACAGAAAUAAAGAAAAGAUUCGUGUCCAGAUGGUGAUAUACAUGUUUUAUAUUUUAUAUUUGAUAUAUAUUCACAAGAUCCAGUCCCUGAUCAUAAAAUGUAAAUAAUUGGAGGACGAUCGAUAAUCUAUUUCAUGCAUGACAAAAUAAUCGAUUUGUAAAAUUGGAUUAACAGGACAUGCCACGAGUUUCGAGUAAAAAUUAGUAAACAGAUUGUUGACUGUGAUAAACGGCUUUUGCACGUCCACGCCGUGCGAUUCAAUUCGAUUUUCUAGAAAAUACAGUAUAAAAUAUAUACAAAUUCUAUCAGAUACUUAACACAUAACAUAUGAAUCUAAUUUAAAAGAUUAUAAAGUUAAAUAUUCAAAAAAAGUUUUAUAUUUACACUUAUUUCAUAAUAAAUUAACCAAAAUUAUUUUAUUAGUAUUUCAGUGUGUUCCAUUGUAUAUUUUUUCACAUUUUUGUAUAUUUUUUUUACAAAAAAUAUUGAUUAAAAUUCACUCAAAAAAAGUGAAUUUUCUAAUUUUAAUUACAAUUGCUGAUUCAAAUAAAAUAAUUUCUAGGGAAAACCAUCGAAAUGACUGAAACCAAAUGGCAAAAAGAAGGUCAAUGACUAGCGAAUUUUUUGCCAGAAUUAAAGCGGUCUAAUUGAACGAAUCGUGGAAGAGACGUCUUCUCUCUUCUCUCGAUUGGCCGUGUUUGGCGGGAGCGGAAACGCGAUUACCUUAAAGCUCGAGGCUCCUCCUCCCACCAGGCCCUUCCUCGCAACGUGUAGAAGCGGAAUCGAAUAUCCGGCUUGAUUCUCACCGAGACCUAAUUAUCGAUCGGUGGAAAGGCCGGGAUCCUCGUGAGCACAACAUUGAUUUACGGAUGUGUCGUAUCCUCGUGCAAAGAGAUUCCUCGUACAUUGACUCACGGGCUGGCAGCCGUGCUAAAUGCAGUUGCAACUCUGCCCCUGGCUCUGUUCCAGCUCUGUACAACUGUAUUCCGCCUCGAUGGAUUCGGUAAUCGAGGUCAGUGUACCCUUUCAUCUCGCCUCUAUCUAUUUGCAGAGUGAUUUAAAUGCGCGACCCCUUCGCCGAACUUUGGCCCCGACGACCGGAAACAAUGUUCGAUCACGAUCCACUCGAAUUUUUCCGAUGGAAGAACACAUUUUCCCUUUAAUUUUUGAUUAUCUAAUUUUCGAAGAAAGGAAGGAAAAGGCGAAGGGAAAAAAGUAGGAUGCGCGAGAAAUAGAGGAACGUUUGAGUAGAGGUAGAAAAAAGACUUUUUAUUAAUUUUCGAUUCGAGGAAAGGAGGGAGAAGAUGAAGGAAAAGAUAGGAUAGAGAAAUGUACUGAGGGAGUAAAAAAAUUGUGCCUUGCAAAAAUGUCCAUUAAUAUGUAGAAGAAGAUUUUUUUUUCUAAUUUUCGAUUGGAAGAAAUAGAAACGAAGAUAAAGGAUAGACUUUGUGCGUUCUAUUCUUUAAAAAAAAUUGGUCGGUUAAGUAAAAUUUGAACGAAUAAUUGGAUUGGUGGCAAGAAGGAAGUGAAGGAACUAUUGAAUGAAGAUGCGCGAGACGCGCAAGGAUGGACGUGAUGAAAACAAUCGUGGAAAUAGUUCAUUUCAAUCUGGAGAAUCGAUAAAUGGGUCACCGCAGGUCGUCGGGCAAUAUCUCACGUAUCCACGACUCGAGUAUCAACUGGGUCAUUCGACUGUAGCGAGAAUGGACGACAAAAGUGACAAACUAUCGAAGAAACCCCGUCCACCAUUAUCUUAUAUCGCUUCCAAGAUUUAGCACAACAAUCUUUAUUAUCAAAUGUUAUUUACCCGACACCUACGCCAAGAGGAAAACAAUUGACAAACGAGCCAAUCUAAUUGAACUAUCCUCCAUUAACAACACAAUAUAUAUCUCAAUCCACCCACCAUUCUCCGAGAAAAUGUCGCGGAAGUCACAAGACGCCGCCUGUAUUUACACUAUAUUCAUCACUAUCCAUUAUCCUCGAUAAUUGAGUCACUCUCGAUUAAAACUUGCCAAUUAUCUUAUAAAUUCAAUUGUAUAUUCCUUCAAGAAAUUCUCUUCACUUCUCAAAAAUAACCUGAGCCAAAUGUUGAACAAAAAAAGUAAAAGAUUUAGUGGAUUGCAUUCGGCGAACUUUCAACGAAGAAACUUAAGUCUAUCCGCGAGGAGGAUAAUCGAACCACUCCCAAUUAUCAAUCGCAAAAUUCAAUUAUCCAAGAAAUUCCAAUCACCAUCAAAAUAAACUUAAACCAAAUUUCGAGACGAAAAAAGCAAAACAAAAAGAUUGCGAAAGAUUUACUCUGACGAUUUCGACGAAGAAUAAUUGAACCACUCCCGAUCAAAUCAAUUAUUCCUUCAAAAAGACACUAUCAAAAUAAGCCGAAACGAAACAAAAAAGAAAAAAAAAGGAAACAAAGAACACUUACUUUGAUUAUUGCGUUCGACGAAAGCUUCCGUUGAAGAAACGUCGAUUCGCGAGGAGGAUAGAACCGGUGACAGGUGAGAAGACUCGUUCUCACGACAAACGGUACAUCGGUAUGAUAUAACGAUGGAACAAGAGGUGUAAGCAAGCACUGUUCGUUUAUAUCCCGAUUGAACGAGGAGAUCGCUUCGACGGGGUGGUGGUCCCGCGAAUACUGAGCUUCUGGAGCCUAGAGCAUCCUGGUCGAUAAGCCAUCCCCCUCUGGCCACCCACUCGCACUAAAGGUACGAUCACACCUGCGCUGGCCACCUCACGUGGAUUCGCGUGCAUUCACACUAAACCUCGAACGCACCUUUAACCUUUCCCUUUAAUUCACUGAUCAUGUACAUUUCGUAGUAUAGUGCUUCUCAAUUUUACUAUAUGCAAUUCUCUUCUUCUUUUCUUUUUUAAUAAAUGUGUAAUAAUGAAUCAGAGUUGGGAAGUUUUGGAUUUGAAUGGAAAAGUUUAAGGAUUUAAAUUCAGAGUGUAUUGUUUCGUGAAGAAUCAAAGAUUUGAGAAAUUUCGAUUUUUGAAAUUGCAAUCAUUCAAGUAAUGAAAGUGUGAUAAUGAUCAUUUAUUAUGUGAAAUUUUAUCGAUUAAUAUAAAUUAAUCUUAAAUACAAAUUAUAAGAUACAUAAAUUUUAUUAAAAAUUUUCAUGUAAAAAUGAAUGUAAUGAUGUUUCGAAAACUAUCUUGUGAUUUGUUAGAAAUACAUAAUAGAUAUGUAUCGCUUAUUUGCAUGCAUAUGCACAUACUUCUAAUUUGUACCACAUGUAUAUGUGAAAUUCUAUCAAUUAAAAUAAGUUAACGCAAAUCUUAAGCAUAAUUGUAAGAUACAUAAAUUUUAGUAAAAAUUUUUAUGGAAAUGAUUAUAAUGACGAAAAUUAUCUCGCGAACUUCUUGCGAAACUGAACGAUACAUAGAUUGAAAAUAUACAAUACAUACACGCACGCACACACACACAUACACACGCGCGCGCGUUUAUUUCAUACAUGCAGUGUACAGUUCGAAACAAAAUUUUAACCUUUUAGAUUACUUCGUUCCAUGAGGCUAUUCUUUCUAUUUGCCGUGCAAUUUGCUCACGUCUAUUUGAACUUCGAUUUCCUCUGUCGUCCUUCUCGUUUGUUUGCCUUCCUCUAUUUGUUAUUUAUCAUGCACCGACUAUUGAACCUAGAUGUAAUGCUCGUUAUUACCUGCGUUCUGUCGAGAUCCACGAUGCAACAAGUAUGCAUAUGUUUGUAUAAUUCAAGUCAGUUAGGCUUCAGAUGCUCGGCUAUAAUAUAGCUCGUGAUAUUUAGAAAUACAAUAGUGGACAGAAGGAAAUAUAAACAUGCUAUUUAUAUAUUCGCAUUGACCAAAAUAUUUCUCUGAAAUGUAAGAUUUUUUUCUUUUUAAUAGUUGAAAUGUAAUUUUAAAGUUUAAAUUUUGAAUACACUUACUAAUUGUAUGUAAAUUUUUUUUAUAUUUUUUUAUUUGAUAUGCAAAUAAGCUUAUUGCAUAUUGAUGUUAUUUGACCGUUAUUUUCCUGUGUUUUAAUCUGUUUCUUUUUUCAAUAAGUGUACAUGAUAAUUUGUUAUUGUUUUCACGCAUGCAUAAUGAAGAUAAAUAUUAGAGAAUUCACGAAGAACUAAUAAUAAAUAUUGGCACGCCUACUAAUUUUGCAUUUUGAUUAAUAUGUUCAUUCUUUUAAAUUUUGAGCUUAAAUAGGCAUAAAGAUACUUAAAAAAUUAAAGUUUUAAUAACAGAUAUUAACAGAUAUUAAUACAGCUUCCAACAUGUGUAAAAUUAUUAUCUGCAUCAAUAUUCAAUUAUCUUAGAACGUUCAUCAACUUUGAUAAAUGAUUAAAAUUCGUGAAUCGAAUCAAAAAUCAUUUUAAGCAAACAAGUGAUUAAUCGUUAUAUUAAAAUGAUGUAAAGUGAAACAAUAAAUACUGCAAUUGAAGAUAUAGCAGAUAACAAUAGGGAAAAUAAAUUAUAAAUUCGAAUACUUUGAUUUGUCUUGUAAUAUUAUCAUCUUAUUAUUACAUAUCGUAAUUUAUUCACUGUGCAAUUAUUUUUUGUUUAACAUACCUUUAACCUUUAGUCUCACCCACUGACAUUUUUACAAUGCAAGGCGAACCAUUUGAUGUUUCCAAGUAAUGCGUACUCUUUUUUUUUUCAUUUUUUUUUUCAUUCGAACAUCAUUUCAAGACUACGAAAAGAAUUGUUGAUAUUUGUUACAACUGUCUGAUAAAUUAUGUUUUACUCUACUUUAUUCCGCUUGUAAUUUCUUUAACUUCGAAUUAUUAAAGUUUGAAAAAGACGGAAAACACUUAAAGGAAAACACUUUAACUGUUUUGUGUAUAUUAUAAUUUUGGAUGAAAGAAAAAUCACUUUGAUUACAUACCUUCACAGAUGUUAUAUUUAAAAUUGAUUGCAUUUACUUCAUUACAUACUUGCAUAUACAUUCAUUGCAUACUUGUAAUAUGGUAUUUUGCAAUUGCAAAACAAAUAAUAUUGUACAAAGUUUCAGAAACAUCGGUCUGCGUGUGCGUACACCCACACGAUAUUUUUAUUAAUUUUUUUUUCAUUGCUAAAUAUUGAAAUUUAAAUAUAUUAAUUAUAACUAUCAUAAUGAAAAUGCUUGAGAUUUCUUAUCCUUUGAAUUUGACGAUUACUUAAUAAAUCAUAAAUGAUCAAUAUCAUUCGAAUAAUCAAUGUUUGUAUUUAAACAUCUAAAUGCUAAAAAAGCAUUAUUCAGAAAAUAUCUCAAAACUUCUGAUUAAAGGUAUAAAUUACAAUUUCUACAUUUCAUUUCAUCAUAAAUGGCAAAGAUGUGAUUACUAAUAAAAAAAAAAGUUUGAUCAAGUAACUUUUAUACAAUGAUCAUAAAUGGAAAGUCACGUUGAUGGUUUCCAUAAACAUCGAAUGUAAGACGCAGAUUUCACAUUGUCCGUACUGUUCAGAGUGAUUAUUUUUAGAUCAUUUCAACGUAGUAUAGGUGUUGCGCUAUCGAUAAAAUAUCGAUGAGACCUUCUCCACAAGGUUGCCGGUCUCCAUUCGAGCUUAACGCGAUGCAAUAAUUAAUUUCGUAAUUAACCUUGCACUAAGUAACCAAUAAUAACGUUCUAAUCUAAUGAAGAUUCAGUUAAUCGACCUCAAUGCUGUUUCUCGGAUUACAAAAUGUACAAAAAUCUUGAAUUUUUUGAAAAAUUUUGGAAUAAUUUCUUUUAAUCGAUUGAUUUUUACUUUUAUUCUUCGUUUUUUGCGAUUGUUAAAUCAUUCGUAACGAGUGAUUCGUUAGGUUAGUUUGGCAGCAGAGGGAGUAUAUAAGUAUAUCGAAUGCGUCUUAAGAACAUAUCGAUAUAUCUUUUCACCAAGUACAUGCUUUGUAAUCGAACAACUUCGGACAGCUUUCAAGAACCUUCGUUUAACAUCUAUUUUUAAGCAUCGAAGUUUAACUGGUUGUGAUAUAUCGAGCAAAAUAUAUAUUUUUCUACAUCAAAUGUCCUCAUUAAAUGGACGAUGAUUUUUAUCGAAAGAUGAUCCAUCGAUAUUUGAUAAACGAUUUGUCUCGAUUCGAAUAUUAAUUAAAUCGAGGAGUGGAAUAUUUUUGUUCGAUCAAUGCAUUUUUUAACACAAAAUAAUAAUAAUAAAAUAAAAAUAAAAAUAAUAAUAAGUUUUAUAAACAAUUUAUUUAUUUUUGUGACUUUUUUAAAGCUUUUUUAAUGAAUUUAUUGUUUUUUCUCAAUGUUUCUUCGAAAAAUUAACUUUGUUGUAUUUAUGUUGAAAAUUAGAAAAAUGUUUGAAUUUGAAUGCGUUGUAAUAUUCAUAGAAAGUCCAUUGAUACGAAGAAAUUGCCUAAUUAACCUUGAAUCGAUAAAGUGGUGAAAUAUUCUCCAUUCUCGGAAAUUGAUCGUUGAUUUGUGUCAAAAUGAAGAAUUGUUCCUUGGAAAUAUGGAUAACAGAUACUUAACAAGAAUGUGAUGUCGUCACUCUUCUGGGAAUGAUAAGAUAAUUUUUGCAUUCUGAUUAAUAUUUCAAAUUUAUUAUAAUUCAAACUUAGAAUUUGACGCUAACUUUUUCAGAAGGAUAUUUUUUUUCAGAGAAUAAAACGAUGUGUAUUUAUUUGUGUAAAGUAAAAUUUUAAUCAUUAAACAAAUUUUUUAUAUAUUCUUUUUUCUACUACAAUCUUAUGCUUUCUUAAUACUAUGAAAUAAUUUAAUAGUUUUUGAUAUUUUCAAUUUUUAAAGAUAAUAUUAACUAAUGUACUUUUCCUUUCGAAGAUUUUGCCAUUUAAAAAAUUUUUUAACUAAGAAAAUAAUAAAUGAUUCGUUGGUUUUAGAGUCAAAAGAAUUUGAUGGAAAAUAUUAUAGAGUAUCAAUUUAAUUUCUUAAUGUUGUUUUUACUGUGCAUAAUACUAAUAUUGAAAAUAUUAGUCAUUUGUUUAUUGAGUUUGCGCGUCAUCCAGUUAAUAAGUAAAUUGCAACUGUGUAAAUUUGAUUUAAUUUUACAAAAUAUCUAGAAAAUUUUAUUAUCCUAAUUUGCAUGGUGUAUUGAGAGACUCCGUUUCCAUCCACUGACGUAAACGAAAAUAAAAUGCGUUGGUGGACAAUUGUGAACGCUUGCUUGAGUAUACUCGUGAAACUAGCACAAACAAGAAUCAAGAUUCUCUUAAAUAGUCCAAGUAUCUUAUUUCUUAAUUAUUAUUCCAAAAGAAUUAGUUAUUUUUCCAAAACAAUAAUGUAUGUUCAAAACAAAUUGUUUGCUUUUUUUCUUUUUUUUUAAGAAAAAAUAAUAUUUUAUAGAUGAAUCCCAAAAUAAUAACUUUAAUUACUAUUUUUUUUCUUUGGAAAUGAAAAUAAUUAUAAUUUAUUUGUCUAAAUUUCUAGAAAAAAAGAAAAAUUUUAGAAAAAUUUGUUUCUUGUAAUCAAUCUUCUGUGCGAAUUUAGAAUUAAACUUAUUCGAAAUAUUUUAUCGAAUUUUACCUUUAAUUAUUAUUAUUUUUGUUUUCAAUAAAAACAUCGAACGUUUUCAUUGAUUUUAUCGAG